GGGGGCGGCCGAGACCGCAAUUCCCGUCACGGAGUGCGCCCUCUAGCGCGGGGCGGAAGACCCGCGAAGUGUUCAAGCGGCCGCAGAGCGGCCCAGAGUUCGCAGGUCUGGGGCUCUUCCCAGAGAGCUCGUAGGGGAAGACAGUCAAGGGACUCAAGCGUCUCUCUUGACUCCCCUUCUCUCGCUGUGCAGUGGCGGCGCCGAGGGGUCGACGCUCAGGGCUAAUCUCUAUGAGUCACCCUCGAGGCCCCGGGUAAUAUUGGGUGGAUCACAAGAACUAAUCUUUCAUGAUUUGGAAACUGGAAGGAAAGAAGCACUUUUGUAGCUGACUCACCUCAAUGGCAUGACCAGUGUCUGAGCCUACAACUGCGCUACCUUCUCUGGAUUUUUCUUCACCUUUUCCAUACUCAUGAGCCAGAACGGCAUGUCCAAGGAGCUAUACAUUUGCUAGAAGGGGAUGACCAAUUCAGCUCUGAGUUUCCUGGGAGCCAAAGCCAAGAGCUCCAUGUCCACAAGAUCGAAGACCAAGUACUCAGAAGAACAGCUUUUCCUGAUACUAGGAGUUAAGAGAAGCUUUCUCCAGGAACCUUCAUAGAGACAACCUUGCAUGAUGCAGUGGACAGCACCCUUAGCAUGCUCCACAAGGGUCAUUCUGCAGUCUCUUUCAGCACUGGAUAACGGCACUCUGUCUCAAAGGUAGACUCUAAGUUGAUAGCAUCCUUAGACUCUGUCCUAAUAUUACCAAGAACACAAUUUAGCAUAUGUACCCCCCUCAAUGGGGGACCCUCCUACCAUCCUGCAAGAAAUCCUCUGUGAGACUAGACCUUGGGUGAGAACAGACAACAGGGAGUUGGAGGCUUCAUUCUCUGGCACCAGUUAGCCUGGUGGGGAGAAUUUCCGCAUGCCUGGCGGUGCAGUUGAGAUAAUCCACAAAGCUGAAGGCAGGGUCAACAAUCUCCCAUGCAAGUUAAGGACACCUAGGCAAGUGCGUGUAUGCCUGAGGGCAGGACCAACACAUUUCCCAGGAAACCACACAGCACAGACUGGUUAAGAAUGUGAGCUGUUUGGCGCUGGAUCACGCCUGUAAUCCCAGCACUUUGGGAGGCCAAGGCUGGUGGAUUACUUGAGGUCAGGAGUUUGAGACCAGCCUGACCAAUAUGAUGAAACCCUCUCUCUACUAAAAAUACAAAAAUUAGCUGGACGUGGUGGUGCAUGCCUGUAAUCCCAGCUACUCGGGAGGCUGAGGCAAGAGAAUCACUUGAACCCAGGAGGCGGAGGUUGCAGUGAGCCAAGAUUGUGCCAUUGCAUCCCAGCCUGGGCGACAGAGUGAGACUCUGUCUCAAAAGAAGAAAAAGAGUGUGGGCUAUGAGCUCACAAAAUUUGGAUUAAAAUCCCGGUUUUAUCACUUUCUAGGUAUUUGACCUUGGGUAAGUUUCCUCAGAUAUAAAAGGAGGAUAGUAACAGUAGCUCACUUAUGGGGUUGCUGAAAAAAAAAAUACAAUAAUGUGGUAAACCAUUAAGGACAAAUACCUAGUACAAAAUAACGCUCACAGAACAUUGGGAAUUAUUGAUAACAUUAUUGUAAUAUUUAAAAAUAAAUGAAAAAUUAAUAGGCACACAUUUAAACACAUGGAAAAUGGACAUUUGGAACUCUAGAGUUUUCUGCCAUAAAACAUGGCUACAAUAAUUUAAGUCUAGAAAAAUGUGGAAGGGGGAAUAACUAUCCAAUAAAGGGGGAAUAAUUAUCCAAUAAAAUCCUCCCAAACACCCAUAAAUAUUACUUCCUGCAAAAUCAUUCAAGAAGUAUUUGCUACACAAUGUAACAGAAAACAAGUGAUUUGAUUCUACUUAAUAUAUCUUUGACAAUAAAUUGAUUAAGUCUUGGGUGAAAUUUAUGGAAAAUAAUUUUUUUUUAAGGAGAAUUGCUGUUCAGCCAUUCUUACUGAUAAUAGUCAACAGGGCCAUCUAUCUGAUAAGUUCAUUUCUAGUUCACAGCAUUGACCCAUCCACAGAGUGGAGAAUUGUGCCCUUUCAUUCUCUAGAGUGGUUAAUGAUGUCAGGAGUUGUAUUUUUGACUCAAUAAAGUGAAAAUAUUUACUUUUAAAAUAA